UACGUAGGGUGCAAGCGUUGUCCGGAAUCAUUGGGCGUAAAGCGCGCGUAGGUGGUCAUGUAAGUCCGCUGUGAAAGUCAAAGGCUCAACCUUUGAAAGCCGGUGGAUACUGCAUGACUAGAGUACGGAAGAGGCGAGUGGAAUUCCGUGGUGUAGCGGUGGAAUGCGCAGAUAUCAGGAGGAACACCAAUAGCGAAGGCAGCUCGCUGGGACGUUACUGACACUGAGGCGCGAAAGCGUGGGGGAGCGAACAGG
rnacentral:rRNA from 1 species